GUGAGCUUCAGUCUAGGUUGUUCUGCUUUUCAUAACUUGGUUAGCAGUUUGUUUUGAUUUUGUAUGUGUUUAGAAAGGGAAGUGGAAAAUGCAAUUCACCAUCCGGAAUUCGUUGCAAAAUUACAUUUUCAUCUAGGCCUAAUGAAGAACAAAAGGAUGCAUAAAGUUCCAAUAAAUGUUAUGGCAGUUUUAAUAUAAAUGUACUGAUAUUAUGCAAAAAGGCUAUGUACUCUCUAUUUAAAAUUAGAAAGAUAUUAUCAGUCUCACAGCCUGGAGGUGGUAAGGACGUGAACAUCGUACAUAGUGCUUAUUCAGAAACCAAGGAGCAUAGUGUUUUGGCUCUAGUUUGUGAUAAUGAUAGUACAUGUUAGUCAAAAGAUUGAGAACCAUUGAAACAAGAGCAGCUACUGCCAAUUAUUCCUUAUUGUCAUUUUUGCUCUCAAACUGUUCAACAGCAGCUACUGGUGCUGAGGAAGGCAUUGAAUACAAAGCAGAAUGAUGUUCAGCAAGAUGUAAUGCUGUAACUUAAUCAUGAGCUUUUUCUAAUGAAAUACUGGAAUUUUCCUAUAACUGUUCUGAUAUGCGUUGAUUCUUCAAACCUCAGAUGAUGCAUUCUUUAAUGUACUAAAUUUGAAUAUAUUCUCUAAUAUACUAAAUUUGAAGAAAAGUACUUUUGAAAUCGUGUCUACUGAUGUUUUAAGUGUUUGAUUGCAACUUCUGUUUUUGGAAAGGUUAUUUAUAAUUAUGAAAGGAACUCUAAGGUUAUCUCCUUUUCCGGUACAUAAGUUCAAAUUUCAGCAAACCUGUGGUACGCCAACUCUGCUGGUUUAAUAAUUCUGAAAAGCAAAUUAAAUCUCUAACAUUUGAUUCAGCAGGCUUGUGGCUGCUGCUAGUUACACAUGAUGCAACCAUAUAUAUUUUACCACUACUCCCACUUCUU